rnacentral:lncRNA from 1 species
CGAUAACACUCCAUAUCCCCGGGCAUUUGUCGUCAAGAUGCAUUAUUGUCACGAAUGGCAAGACAUCAUCCGAAAAGCAGCACAGCUAAAAAUCAUCACUUUCAGGGGAGAAAAGCUUCUAAUAUUUCCUGACCUCCCACCAGCUAUACUGAAACAGCGUGCCCGUUUCAACAAAGCGAAAAAUUUACUGCGAGAUCAACCAGGCGUCCGUUUCGGAUUUCUGUACCCAGCGAAACUACGGGUCACACACAAUGGAGAAGAAAAACACUUUACCGACCCUGCCAAAGCGAUUGAAUACGCAGAACGGCAUUUUGGUGAGGGUAACGUACCGUAACAUCCUUGGAGACUGUGCAAACAGUGCAAGGCUGAUCGAUAACGCUGUACUUUUCUACCUUUAACAUACUUUAUAUACGCAAUCUUUUUUCACAAGGUUUAUACGCUUCGCUUUAUGGACUUUUAAAAACCGAGCUGUUUGCGUGUGCAGACGAACAUUUAUUAUAACCAAAGGAACUGUUCACUUAAGCUCCUGUUAGUCAGCUAAGGCCAGUUGGGCGUGUCUUAUACCAAGUUUAUUUUACUAAAUUCUGUUUGAUGUAUACUCAAACCUGGAUUUUCAGAUAAUGGUUUACAUAUUCAUAUGUAGACUCUGUAAAUUGUGUUAGUAGACCAAGGGGGAAAAUUGUAUGUGUGUGUGUAUAUGUGUAUGUGUGUGUAUAUAUACAUACGGACAUGUAGUUGUAAUAUAAUCACUUGUACCCAAUAAUUAUAGAAGGAAAUUUUUUGUUAUAAUUUCUUUUAAAUUUUUUUUAUUUAUUUUUUGC